GAGGCAACACCUGUACCCAUUCCGAACACAGCAGUUAAGCUCACUAACGUCGAUGGUACUGCAUGGGAAACUGUGUGGGAGAGUAGAAAGCCGCCAUCA
rnacentral:rRNA from 1 species